GGGUUUCUAAGUCUAUUUGUUAUACUUAUUUCUGUCGAUCCGCGGAAAGAGGACUGAUUUCGGAUUUCUUCCAAUAUGAUUUAAUCCAUAGAAGGUGCGCGGACAGUAAUUCCUUCCCUGUGGCCAAACUAUAUUCAUUAUAUUAUAACAAUUGCCUUGAUGUGCGUUCUCAAAUUUGAGUUUGAAGACACCAACGCAGACAUGUAUCUUAUUUUGGGUUUACAAAAAAAACUAAAAAUGUAACUUCAAGAAAAUUAAAUCAAAAGUUAAUAGUUACCGAUAAAAUGUACUAUUCAACCCUGGACUGGAAAUCCUUUAGUUCAGGGCACUGUAAAAUAUCCAGUAAAAUUGCACGUCUGGGGAUGCUUCUGUAAACAAGGUUUUGGGAUUUUGUAUCUAUUCAUUGGUGAUCCCAAUGCAGAGAGAAUGGUAAAAAUUUAUCAAAUGGGUUUAUUGAAGUCUGCUACGAGAUGAUUUGGCCCCGAUGCAAGCAUGGAUACUCCAAAAAAAUAACGAUCCCAAACAUCGAAGCCGUGCAUGCACGACGUGGAAACGUGAAAACGGUAUUAUUACGAUGGAUUGGCCCUCACAGUCUCCUGAUAUUAAUCCAAUCGAAAAUGUUUGUACUGCUAUGAGGAUCAAGCUGAGAGAAAAGCGAGUUUUCACUUUAAAACAGUUAGCGUAUCAGUUUUACGUUUGAUUUGGAAAUCACUUCCCGAGACUUUGGUAGAAAAUCUUAUUGAAAGCAUGCCUCGACGUUGCAAAGCCGUAAUCGACAACAGAGGGGACUGGACAAUAUAUUAGAUAAAUCCAUCGAAGCGUAUAUAAUAUACUUCAAGAUCAUAUGUUUAUUUUUCAAAAAUCUUUUCUUUUUCAGGAGAAAUAGCUAACACGCUCUUGUGCCACUGACUGUAUACUCCCGUAAUUGAUGGUACAAUUCACGUAUAUAUUUAUUUAUGAUCAUAUAACACACGAAACUAUAUUAAUAUAAUCAACACGAAUCACGCGUGUAUGAAUCAUAACUUACAGUAAUAAUACAUUUUUCACUAAUAUAGUAAUAUAGGAACUAAUAUAGUAAUAUAGGAAAAGUUAAAUAUCCAAUGUUAUUUUCUGUGAAUGAAUAAAUUAAUAUCACACGUGUGCGCAUGUAUUAGUGAAUAAUUAUUUUUUUUUAUUACUUAACAUUUAUUGGUCAUUAGUAAAUUAGUAUACCAUUUGUAUCUUUUAAAGUUGUUUAUUUAUUAUUUGUAUAAACUACAUUGUAAUAAUAAUUCAUGUAAAUUAUUUUUAUAUACAAAUAUACAAUGUACAAAAGGCACGACAUAUCUACAUUCUUUAGCUCACAUACAAUAAAAUGCAAGACGAUAUAAAUUAAAAUUACAAAAUGUAGAAAGUAUAUAUAAUUAAUAAAUGUCACAAACAUUUAUUAUCAACAACUGUUUCAUAGUACCGUUAAAAAAAUUAAAUAUUUUAUUGUGCUUUAACAAACUUCACAGAUUAUUGUUCAUCAUGCAUCUUUUCCAUUUAUUUUUUUCACUCUUAUAUUCCUCUUUAUAUUUUUUUUCACACUGUAUUUCAAUGAAACGACAGAAUACAAUAGUUCUAAAGAGACAUCACUAUAAAACAUAGGAAAAUGAAUACGAUUUAAACAAUUUUGUUUUGUUAUAUUAUUAUAUACAGGAUAUAAGUUGUAUGGAUGUAAUCUAUUCCAUUAAUUAAGCAAUAGAACAGAUUUUGGUGUAAACCUUCUAUCUAACAAAAAUGUCGCGUCGAAAUGUCUUCCAAUUACAAAUUCAGGAAUUUUGAAUAAUUAAAUUUUAACAAUAAAGAUUGAUAUUGAAAUCUUCAUCUUCAUGUGACUUACCUCAAACAAAUUAUUAGAAAAAUGUUUUAACAAAAACUGUUUAAAACUUACACAUUAAAGUUUUUUGUUUAAUGUUAGACAUCUAAUAUCAUAAAAAUAAAAAAAUUGUAUGAAAUACGAUCAUUUGUUUCAAUUUUUUUAUUAAAAGAGAAGACUCCAAUUUCCUUCAUUUGAAAUCAUCCAUCACUUGAUAGUUUUGAAAUAUUUUAAGUUACAUAAAAAAAAGAUGUUUUUGUUUAUAAUUUACAUGUUAUAUUACAAAUAAUGGAUAAUGACGUCUCAAGCAAUAUUCAAAUAUAUGCUUUAUUGUAAGUCUAUCAACAUUAAUGUCAAAAAAUAUUACUGAAUUUCAUGGAAACAUAUGUCCAUCUUUUAUAUUAAAUUUAAAUGAAAAACAUUGAAAUAUAAAAAUCAAGGCAGCAUUAAAAAUAAUGAAAAUAUCUGAAAUUAAUUAUUAUCUAUGUAUAUACAGGAUGUUUCAUUUUAAUCACCCCAGACGAAUAAUUUGAAAAGAACAAUCUCCAAUAGUCAUGACCUUGACAUAUGUUGUCAAGCUCAUUCUGAACAACAUUCAAAAGGUUUUAGCCAUUAUUCGAACAUCUUGGAUAAUGCUAAUGCAGGCGGUACUGUAACAUUCAGCCUUAUAACUCGAAAAGUGCUUAUAAUGGAAAAAUAUUUUAUUAUAGUAUUUUGAAAAGCUUUCGAGAUAAGCUAUAAGAAUGUGAAAUGAAAAAUCAGGGAUUCCAUUUAAAAAAUUUAAAGUAACCUUUCUCUGACAUUGACAACAUCACACAAGGUCAAAUCAUUAUAUCAUUUUAUGUGUCCCUUGAAGUCAUACAACUUUUGUCUUGCGUUUUUUUUCAAUUCUGUUUUAUUUUCGAGUUAUUCGCCUGGGGCGAUUAAAAUAAAACAUCCUGCAUAAUCUAUUACUAUUCCUAAUAUUCUUUCUCACUUCUUCAUUUUUAAUUACAUGAAAAAAAUAAAUACUUAUUCUUUUUUCCCUUCUCUUUAAUUUACGAAGUAUGAAUAAAAAAUAUAUACGAUGCUAUUUCUCCAAUAUUUAGUUUAAAUGCAUUUUAUACAACCUUUUUGUGACUCGAAAUAUAAUAGAUUAAAUUAGACGUAUCAAAAUCAUUUUGAAAAAUUUUUAAAGUAUAAAAAUUAUUUUGGAACUUUUUCGAGAAAUAUAUUAUCACAUAAUUAUUAUACUCAGUCUAUUAUUACGAUAAAAUUUCAAGUUUAUAUCAUUACACGUGUAUUUUUUGUUCCAUUUACAAAUAGCUUUAAUAGAAAAUAUGUAUAAUAAAUCCAUCAUAUGUCAAUAUAUCAAGAACGUAGUCUCAAUAAAAUAUAAUCGCAGCGUAAUGUGAAAUAUAUAUCAAGUACACUAUUAACAUAUAGUGUGACAUGCUUUGAAUUUUAAUAACCGCAUCUUGAUGACUUGAUAAUUUCAGUAUCAAGAGAAUUUUCUAUUAAGUUGGUUCAUUGUAUAGAAUAUAAUUAUUAGAAUUAUAUUUAUGAAUUUGCUAUCGCGACAAAUGUCAAUAAUAUAUAUUUUUCUUAUACUUCUUAUAAAUCUCUUUAUAAAAAUCAUAGGUGUUUCCUGUGUAGGGAGCAUUAAACAUAUUAAUCUUGCAUAUAAACGAUAUAUAAACCAGUAUAAAAACAAAGUAUGUUCGAGAUAUUAUUGUUAUAAAAACGACGUAAAAAUAUCAGUUAUAUAAAUUGGACCUGAUUAUCUUUAUAGGAAUGUAAAAAUUUCAUUUACAAAAUAUACCGAUUAUUAAUCAUUUUUUAUAUAAUCAGCUGUUUGUAUAAAAUAAUAUAUAUAAGAGCUUAAAUGCGAUAUACUUUCCAAUACCUUUUUCAUAUGCAAAUUAAGACACAUAGCAUAUACGUACACACAUACACACACACGCACGCACGCACGCACGCACACAAAACAUAUAUACAUACAUCAUACAUGUAUAAUCUAAUACAUAAUUAGCAUAAUUCUGAUUAAUAAUGGAAAUGCGUAUUAUAAAUUUACUUGUUAGUAAACUUAUUCCGCUUUACUGAACUUUCACACAUUAAGAGUAACAAAGAUUUUAUGUAAUAAAUAAUCUAUAAAAUUGGAAUGACUUGUAGCAAAGCUGCAAUGAUAUUUGGGAAAAUAUAUACAGCAUAGAGCAGGGCUAGCUGAGCGCAAGGGUAAAUUGGCAUAUACAAAUAUCUCAGUAACCAAAACAUAUCAAUGCCAAACAAAAACUCAAGAGACGGAACUUACUGCGCUAAAUAUGUCAAUUUGCGCCGGUAAACGUUCAAUUUCAAUAGGCAAACAAAUGCGCUUUUUUAUUUUUCUGUAAAAGUAAAAUAUUAUUAGAUGAUUGUUCUUUUUUGUCUAUGUGGUAACUGAAGUAAUUAAUAAAAACCAACUUUUUAUAUCAUCAAGUCAUUAGAAUAUUUUUUAACUUUGAUAUUCAAAUUGCUAUUUUAU